rnacentral:rRNA from 1 species
UACGUAGGGUGCGAGCGUUAAUCGGAAUACUGGGCGUAAAGCGUGCGCAGGCGGUGAUGCAAGACAGAUGUGAAAUCCCCGGGCUUAACCUGGGAACUGCAUUUGUGACUGCAUCGCUGGAGUGCGGCAGAGGGGGAUGGAAUUCCGCGUGUAGCAGUGAAAUGCGUAGAUAUGCGGAGGAACACCGAUGGCGAAGGCAAUCCCCUGGGCUGCACUGACGCUCAUGCACGAAAGCGUGGGGAGCGAAACAAGG